CCUGAACGCUGGCGGCGUGGCUAAGACAUGCAAGUCGUACGGGUGCAGCAAUGCACCAGUGGCGCACGGGUGAGUAAUGUAUCGCUAACGUACCCCGAAGUCUGGGAUAGCUGAGGGAAACGUUCAGGUAAUACCAGAUGACAUCACUGAGAAGCAUUUCUCGGUGCUCAAAGUAGCAAUACGCUUUGGGAGCGGGCGAUAUCGUAUCAGCUAGUUGGUUGAGGUAACGGCUCACCAAGGCGACGACGCGUAGCUGGUCUGAGAGGACGGCCAGCCACAUUGGGACUGAGACACUGCCCA
rnacentral:rRNA from 1 species